rnacentral:rRNA from 1 species
CACGUAGGGCGCAAGCGUUGUCCGGAAUUAUUGGGCGUAAAGAGCUCGUAGGCGGACCUGCAAGUCGGGGGUGAAAGCCCGAGGCUCAACCUCGGAACUGCCUUCGAUACUGCGGGUCUCGAGUCCGGGAGAGGUGAGUGGAAUUCCUAGUGUAGAGGUGAAAUUCGUAGAUAUUAGGAAGAACACCAGUGGCGAAGGCGGCUCACUGGCUCGGUACUGACGCUGAGGCGCGAAAGCGUGGGGAGCAAACAGG